UACAUAUCAAUAAGCGGAGGAAAAGAAACCAACAGGGAUUGCCCUAGUAACGGCGAGUGAAGCGGCAACAGCUCAAAUUUGAAAUCUGGCCCCCGGGUCCGAGUUGUAAUUUGUAGAGGAUGCUUUUGGUGCGGUACCUUCCGAGUGCCCUGGAACGGGACGCCAUAGAGGGUGAGAGCCCCGUCUGGUUGGACGCCAAUCCUUUGUAAAGCUCCUUCAACGAGUCGAGUAGUUUGGGAAUGCUGCUCUAAAUGGGAGGUAUAUGUCUUCUAAAGCUAAAUAUUGGCCAGAGACCGAUAGCGCACAAGUAGAGUGAUCGAAAGAUGAAAAGCACUUUGAAAAGAGAGUUAAAAAGUACGUGAAAUUGUUGAAAGGGAAGCGCUCAUGACCAGACUUGGGCUUGGUUGAUCAUCCAGGGUUCUCCCUGGUGCACUCUUCCGGCCCAGGCCAGCAUCAGUUCGCUGUGGGGGAUAAAGGCUUCGGGAAUGUGGCUCCCUCGGGAGUGUUAUAGCCCGUCGUGUAAUACCCUGUGGCGGACUGAGGUUCGCGCAUUCGCAAGGAUGCUGGCGUAAUGGUCAUCAGCGACCCGUCUUGAAACACGGACCAAGGAGUCGUCUUCGUAUGCGAGUGUUCGGGUGUCAAACCCCUACGCGUAAUGAAAGUGAACGCAGGUGAGAGCUUCGGCGCAUCAUCGACCGAUCCUGAUGUUCUCGGAUGGAUUUGAGUAAGAGCAUACGGGGCCGGACCCGAAAGAAGGUGAACUAUGCCUGUAUAGGGUGAAGCCAGAGGAAACUCUGGUGGAGGCUCGCAGCGGUUCUGACGUGCAAAUCGAUCGUCAAAUAUGGGCA
rnacentral:rRNA from 1 species